GAUUUGGCUUCCUAACUGAUGGAAGUCCUUAAUACCACAAGGAUAUGUAACAAUAGGCACGACAAAUUGGUUUGGAAAUCAAAGGACAACUUCAUUAGUGCGCUCUUUUUAUAGGUGCCUUGUAAAUAAUGUGCCUCAGUAUUCUCUUAGCGCUCCUAAAGUUUGGAUGGGAUUGACACCUCCAAAGGCUGAGUUACUUGUUUGGUUUGUGUGUAAUGAAAAAUAUACGCACCAGAGAAUGGUUG
rnacentral:misc_RNA from 1 species